AAUGAACGCUGGCGGCGCGCCUAAUACAUGCAAGUCGAGCGAGAAGACGUAGCAAUACGUUUGUAAAGCGGCGAACGGGUGAGGAAUACAUGGGUAACCUACCCUCGAGUGGGGAAGUAACUAGCCGAAGGUUAGCUAAUACCGCGUACGCUCCUUGGACUUCGGUUCAGGGAGGAAAGCGAUACCGUGGGUAUCGCGCUCUUGGUUGGGCUCAUGUCCUAUCAGCUUGUUGGNGAGGUAACGGCUCACCAAGGCUUCGACGGGUAGCUGGUCUGAGAGGACGAUCAGCCACACUGGCACUGCGACACGGGCCAGACUCCUACGGGAGGCAGCAGUAAGGAAUAUUGCGCAAUGGGCGAAAGCCUG
rnacentral:rRNA from 1 species